rnacentral:rRNA from 1 species
GACGAACGCUGGCGGCGUGCUUAACACAUGCAAGUCGAACGAAGAGCGAUGGAAGCUUGCUUCUAUCAAUCUUAGUGGCGAACGGGUGAGUAACGCGUAAUCAACCUGCCCUUCAGAGGGGGACAACAGUUGGAAACGACUGCUAAUACCGCAUACGAUCUAAUCUCGGCAUCGAGGAUAGAUGAAAGGUGGCCUCUACAUGUAAGCUAUCACUGAAGGAGGGGAUUGCGUCUGAUUAGCUAGUUGGAGGGGUAACGGCCCACCAAGGCGAUGAUCAGUAGCCGGUCUGAGAGGAUGAACGGCCACAUUGGGACUGGGACACGGCCCAGACUCCUACGGGAGGCAGCAGUGGGGAAUCUUCCGCAAUGGACGAAAGUCUGACGGAGCAACGCCGCGUGAGUGAUGACGGCCUUCGGGUUGUAAAGCUCUGUUAAUCGGGACGAAAGGCCUUCUUGCGAAUAGUGAGAAGGAUUGACGGUACCGGAAUAGAAAGCCACGGCUAACUACGUG